rnacentral:rRNA from 1 species
UACAGAGGGUGCAAGCGUUGUUCGGAAUUAUUGGGCGUAAAGCGCGUGUAGGCGGCUUUGCAAGUCGGGUGUGAAAGCCCUCAGCUUAACUGAGGAAGUGCGCCCGAAACUGCAGAGCUUGAGUACCGGAGAGGAUGGUGGAGUUCCCCAAGUAGAGGUGAAAUUCGUAGAUAUGGGGAGGAACACCGGUGGCGAAGGCGACCAUCUGGACGGAUACUGACGCUGAGACGCGAAAGCGUGGGUAGCAAACAGG